GAUGAAGAACGUAGCGAAAUGCGAUACUUGGUGUGAAUUGCAGAAUCCCGUGAACCAUCGAGUCUUUGAACGCAAGUUGCGCCUCAAGCCAUUAGGUUGAGGGCACGUCUGCCUGGGCGUCACAUAUCGUUGCCUGAUGCCAGUUUCCUCGUGAUGGGGGACUGUGCAGGGCGAAUGAUGGCUUCCCGUGAGCAUUGUUGCCUCAUGGUUGGUUGAAAAUUGAGUCCUUGGUAGGGAGCGCCGUGAUAGAUGGUGGUUGAGUGACGAACGAGACCCAAUCAUGUGAGACCCCUACCGAAUUUGGCCUUCAUGACCCACAUGCGUCUUUGGAACGCUCAUGACGAGACCUCAGGUCAGGCGGGGCUACCCGCUGAGUUUAAGCAUAUCAAUAAGCGGAGGA
rnacentral:misc_RNA from 1 species